rnacentral:rRNA from 1 species
GAUGAACGCUAGCGAUAGGCUUAACACAUGCAAGUCGAGGGGCAGCACAAGGUAGCUUGCUAUCUGGGUGGCGACCGGCGCACGGGUGCGUAACGCGUAUGCAACUUGCCCUACACAGGAGGAUAACCCGUCGAAAGACGGACUAAUACUGCGUAUGCUCACAACUUGGCAUCAAGUGGUGAGGAAAGAAAUUCGGUAUAGGAUAGGCAUGCGUCCCAUUAGCUUGUUGGUGAGGUAACGGCUCACCAAGGCAACGAUGGGUAGGGGAACUGAGAGGUUUAUCCCCCACACUGGUACUGAGACACGGACCAGACUCCUACGGGAGGCAGCAGUGAGGAAUAUUGGUCAAUGGGCGCGAGCCUGAACCAGCCAAGUCGCGUGAAGGAUGACUGUCUUAUGGAUUGUAAACUUCUUUUAUACGGGAAUAACAAGAGUCACGUGUGACUCCCUGCAUGUACCGGAUGAAUAAGCAUCGGCUAACUCCGUG